rnacentral:rRNA from 1 species
UACGGAGGGUGCGAGCGUUGUUCGGAAUUACUGGGCGUAAAGGGCGCGUAGGCGGUAAUGUAAGUCAGACGUGAAAUCCUUCGGCUCAACUGAAGAACUGCGUCUGAAACUGCAUGACUAGAGUGCAGAAGAGGGAAACGGAAUUCCUGGUGUAGAGGUGAAAUUCGUAGAUAUCAGGAGGAACACCGGUGGCGAAGGCGGUUUCCUGGUCUGACACUGACGCUGAGGCGCGAAAGCGUGGGGAGCAAAC